AAGAUGUUGUACUAUCUGACAUUUCAGAAUUUUAGGGUAGAAUAUUCCUUUUUUAUGCUAUCUUUGUGCAUCUUAUAAAAGGAAUAGACCCUCACUCGUUCACACACAGACUAUCAUCAGCAUUAGGCAAUCUAAAAGGCAACUUUGAUACACAAGGAAUUCUGGAAAUUGAUUUUCACACUGGUUUUUCUUCCUUUUUCUGGGUUUCCAAGUGGAUUUGAAAAUAGAAAUAGCUCCUUGUUUCCCUAGUUCAUAAUCCCUGCUAUUUAAAGUUGGUUUUAGUCAAAUAUUCUGGGAUUUUUGUUGCUGUUCUAUUUGCUGCUGCUAUUUUGAGUGUUGCUGGCUUUUAUUUGAUCAUAAAUCCUUCUCGUUAAGCUAUCUUGAGGAAGGUUAAAGAAUGGCUAAGGGAUGAAUCUGACCACCAGUUAGUCAGAUCCAUCUCUGUGAAGUGUCUCAUUCACAAACGCAUGAAUGGAAGAGCUUGAAUGUGUAGUUCUAUUGUUGUUCAUUGCCAGUGCUGAAAGAAAAAAGUAUAAGAGUUACUUUGGAAUCUUAUUUUGAUUCAAGUUUGUAAAUGAUAGUUUUAAUUGAUAGAAUAGCUUAUUAACGUAUUUCAAAUUUUCCCAAAAAACUGGAAUUUUUAAUGUUCUGAUUAGUUUUAUUUA